rnacentral:rRNA from 1 species
GACGAACGCUGGCGGCGUGCUUAACACAUGCAAGUCGAACGGAAAGGCCCCUUUGGGGGUACUCGAGUGGCGAACGGGUGAGUAACACGUGAGUAACCUGCCCUUGACUUCGGGAUAACUUCAGGAAACUGGGGCUAAUACCGGAUAGGAAUCCUUGCUGCAUGGUGGGGGUUGGAAAGCUUCGGCGGUUUUGGAUGGACUCGCGGCUUAUCAGCUUGUUGGUGGGGUAGUGGCUUACCAAGGCUUUGACGGGUAGCCGGCCUGAGAGGGCGACCGGCCACAUGGGGGCUGAGCACCGCCCCGGCCUCCUGGGGGAGGCAGGGGGGGGGAAUAUUGCAAAAGGGGGGGAGGCCGGAGGCAGAAACGCCGCGGGGGGGAGGACGGCCUUGGGGUUGAAACCCGUUUUCAGCGGGGGAGAAGCUUGUGGUGACGUUACCUGAAAAAGAAGCACGGGCAAACUACGUG